CCUACGGGUGGCAGCAGUGGGGAAUAUUGGACAAUGGGGGGAACCCUGAUCCAGCCAUGCCGCGUGUGUGAAGAAGGCCCUCGGGUUGUAAAGCACUUUCAGUGAGGAAGAACGCCUGGUGGUUAAUACCCAUCAGGAAAGACAUCACUCACAGAAGAAGCACCGGCUAACUCCGUGCCAGUAGCCGCGGUAAUACGGAGGGUGCGAGCGUUAAUCGGAAUUACUGGGCGUAAAGCGCGCGUAGGUGGCUUGAUAAGCCGGUUGUGAAAGCCCCGGGCUCAACCUGGGAACGGCAUCCGGAACUGUCAAGCUAGAGUGCAGGAGAGGAAGGUAGAAUUCCCGGUGUAGCGGUGAAAUGCGUAGAGAUCGGGAGGAAUACCAGUGGCGAAGGCGGCCUUCUGGACUGACACUGACACUGAGGUGCGAAAGCGUGGGUAGCAAACAGGAUUAGAUACCCCAGUAGUC
rnacentral:rRNA from 1 species